ACUGACAUCCAGAGGAUGGGAUUAUUAACUCAGUGGGAAGUAACGUUUGCUCUGGGACAAUUUUUAAUGUGGGUCUUGAGGAUUAUGUAGGAGUUCCCUAGAGAAAUCUGAAAUUUCAUUAGAGUCAGAGAAACAGUAGACGAAAAAGCCAACAUGCACGAAUAAAAGAAAGACAAGAAAACAUGACAUUUAAGGACAGCAUGGCAUGACAAUGACUUCUAGAAACUUAUUGGGAAAAAAACGAGACCCAUGUUGACCAGUCACAGAAUAGUGACCUUAGGAAUAAACACGUCAACAGAAAUUGGAACCAAGGUCAAUGACUGCAUCUGUGUAAGAGCAAACUUUAUUUCUGGCAAGGAAGGAACCAGAGUGCGUGUUUGUGGGCCAGAGGGAUAGCACAAGAACGGGUUCUACCCACUGAAAAAUAUUUAUUUUAAAACAUUUAUUUUCUAGGCAGUAUCCCUGUGAAUGCACGUCAUCGCAAAAACUCUGGCCUUUUCUGGAAUAGUAUUCGUUCUAGUUUUGAAUAAAUUAGAAGUGAGAUAAACAUAGGCCUGUGACAUCAACAAGUUUAUAAGAUAAGAGCCAUAUUUGUGUGGCGCACGUUGUGCUGAGCAUUUUAACAUCAUCGCUUUAGGGGUCAGAGAGUGGCGUGGUGGUUAAGGCAUGGACUCCCCCAUGUCUGACCAUGUCACACCUCCAAGUCCUUCUUAUAAGCAUCCUGUUGCUGUCAUUUUAUGGUUCACUUGGAUAAUCCAGGGUCAUCUCUUCAUUUCAAGAUCCCUAACUUAAUCACAUCUGUGAAACCUCAUCAGUCAGAACACAUGAAACUCAAGGAAUGACUUUUAUGCCUGCCUACCUACCUCUCACUGCUCAUCUGAUACUGAAGUGCUGGCUUUAAUAAGUUUCCACUUCAGUUUAAAAUAGAUAAUUUAAGAAAUCCAGAAAGCCAAGGCUGCCAAAGCUCACUGUUUCCUAGAACCAGAUUGCUAUUUUAUGUCUCCCAUUGUGAGAAAACGCAGGCCUGGAGGACCUGCCCCCACCCCUUCCUCCCAGUCAACCUUUCAGUCUGUGAUCCAGGCCCCUCGCUGAGGAAGUGCUCCGUGUUGAAGGCUAUCAGCCAAUUUCUCUUCUUACUUUGGUGUUUGUUUUUUUGUUUAAAUUGUAUUGCUUUCACAUCUGGAUGGUGCAGCUUUCAUGUGGUAUUAGAAGUAUGUGUCCAAAAAUGCAUCCCAGCUGAACAUCCUGUUUGCCUUUUGAUUUAAAUUUCUGUUUAGUAAACCUCUGGGGUUUGGAUAUAGUAAGGAGUAUUCUCGGCACAAUUCCCUACCCACUUCCUCAAAAAUAACUCCCUUAUCCAUUCCUUCCUUUCUUGCCUCUCCUCUGCUAAAUUAAUACUGUCUAUCAGACACAUUCCUAUGGAUACCCAAGAAUAGUUCCUCUUCCCACAAUGACAAAAUCUGUGUCUUAGGCAUUACCUUUCCACCAGCUCUGGCCACAGAAAUGCUGCUUUACACACGAUGCUACCAACACGUUGAGAAUGUUCCCAUCAGCCCCUAGGUGGAAAAAUAACCAAUUUUUGAAUUAUGAGAUACUUGCUUGAGAAACAUAAACAAUGAUUUUUACAAAAAUAGGUUAGCAACUGUAUUUUUCUGGUCAAAACCAGAGAAGAAAUAUGGUUAAAGUAUUUUUAAAAAGUCUUUCCUGCACAUUGGUCAUAGAAAUCCUAUCUCAGAUGAAUAAAUUUACUUGACAUAUUAUUGUGCAAAAUUAUUUUUUAAAAUAACUAUUGUUCAAGCCAACUUUUUUUUUUUUAAGUAAAGAAAUUUGGUUGUUCUUGGCAUUUCUUAAUUUACUUACUUGGGGGUAUGUUCUCCCCAAAUCCACACAUAUAAUUUCUAUUGCCUUUAAAAGGGGCCAUGAGCACACAUCUGAAGGAGAAUUGACCACUUGGUUUUUUGAUGUUUUAAAGCCAACUAAAGCAUGAACCUCCUGCUUCCUUUCUGAUCCUGGCCCUUUUCAAUGAGAACAAUGCUUAUGCAAGAUUUCCUAGGGGGAUUUUGUGGUUUGAGGUUUUAAUAAUCUAGGCUAAAAUUCAAAUAGGAACCACAGCUGCUUGGAUAAGACUCUUAGCUCUCUUUAUUGGAAUGGCAGUGAACUUACCAGAACUUUAAAAUAUUCUGAGUAAUAGCUGAUAUCCAAGAAGGACUUGUAGUAGAUAAAUUUCCCAAGAAAGAAUAUCUAUCCACCUGCACGCAGUAUGAAAAUAAAAUGAUAAGUAAUUCUUUAAAAAUAUUUUAAAAUAUGCUUAAAGUAGAUUUGUCUCCUUUAAAAGAAAUGAAAAAAUACGUGAAUAUGACUGUUUUGAUUCAGGGAAAGGAACCUAUUAACACUUUAAAAACAAGAUCUUUAGAAUUGUUGAUGUAGAACCUGUUUAUUUUCUUUACAGCAUUACUUUCUUUGUGCCUUUGCUACAUUACUCUGUUGUGAUAGUGCUUUUUAAAAUUGAUUUUCAUAUACUUCUAAUAUAGUAUUGUGCUUAAGAUGUAAGUUCUAUCAAAGAGUCUGUAAAGUUCUGAAAGGCCGAAAUAUGUUAAAAGACAGCCUUCAGGUAUAUUAAAUAAGACCCCAACAUUCAAAAUGAAAGGUAAAAAUUGGGUUGUCAUUUAUUUAAACUUUUGAUAAUCAGUAAAUGAUCACUUGUUAAGGGAUUUGCAAGGAGUUUGUAAGGAGGGAAUAUAACAUGACAGAAAAACUAUAAAUAAUCUAGCAUUAACUUUAAAUAGAGGGCCUACUCAGAAAUACCUUUUUUUACUUCUUUAAUUUUUAAAUUUAUCAUUAUUAUU